AACGAACGCUGGCGGCAUGCCUAACACAUGCAAGUCGAACGAGACCUUCGGGGCUAGUGGCGCACGGGUGCGUAACGCGUGGGAACCUGCCCUUAGGUUCGGAAUAACUCCCCGAAAGGGGUGCUAAUACCGGAUAAUGUCUUCGGGCCAAAGAUUUAUCGCCUUUGGAUGGGCCCGCGUUGGAUUAGCUAGUUGGUAGGGUAAAAGCCUACCAAGGCGACGAUCCAUAGCUGGUCUGAGAGGAUGAUCAGCCACACUGGGACUGAGACACGGCCCAGACUCCUACGGGAGGCAGCAGUGGGGAAUAUUGGGCAAUGGGCGAAAGCCUGAUCCAGCAAUGCCGCGUGAGUGAUGAAGGCCUUAGGAUUGUAAAGCUCUUUCACCCGGGAUGAUAAUGACAGUACCGGGAGAAUAAGCUCCGGCUAACUCCGUG
rnacentral:rRNA from 1 species